UGGUUCUGGCAUCGAUGAAGAACGCAGCGAAAUGCGAUACGUAGUGUGAAUUGCAGAAUUCAGUGAAUCAUCGAAUCUUUGAACGCACAUUGCGCCCCUUGGCACUCCAUGGGGCAUGCCUGUUCGAGCGUCAGGUAACCUUCAAGCUUUGCUUGGCGUUGGGCGUUGUCCGAGGACUCGCCUCAAAUGCAUUGGCAGCAGAUGAGCGCAGCACAUUGCGCGUCUGCAUCCACAAGACGAUCGUUGACCUCGGAUCAGGUAGGGAUACCCGCUGA
rnacentral:misc_RNA from 1 species